rnacentral:rRNA from 1 species
UACGUAGGGUGCGAGCGUUAAUCGGAAUUACUGGGCGUAAAGCGUGCGCAGGCGGUUUGCUAAGACCGAUGUGAAAUCCCCGGGCUCAACCUGGGAACUGCAUUGGUGACUGGCAGGCUAGAGUAUGGCAGAGGGGGGGUAGAAUUCCACGUGUAGCAGUGAAAUGCGUAGAGAUGUGGAGGAAUACCGAUGGCGAAGGCAGCCCCCUGGGCUAAUACUGACGCUCAUGCACGAAAGCGUGGGGAGCAAACAGG